UACGUAGGGGGGCAAGCGUUGUCCGGAAUCAUUGGGCGUAAAGCGCGUGUAGGCGGCCAGGUAAGUCCGUUCUGAAAGCCCGGGGCUCAACCCCGGGAGGCGGAUGGAUACUGCUUGGCUCGAGUCCGGAAGAGGUGAGUGGAAUUCCCGGUGUAGCGGUGAAAUGCGCAGAUAUCGGGAGGAACACCAGUGGCGAAGGCGGCGAUCUGGGUUGAUACUGACGCUGAGGUGCGAAAGCGUGGGGAGCAAACAGGG
rnacentral:rRNA from 1 species